AGAAACUUAGGAUAACUAAACCUUAAGCCUUCAAAGCUUAAAAUAGAAGUUAAGAUUCUUCUAGUUUCUG
rnacentral:tRNA from 1 species